AAAAACUCCGGUGGUGCAAGAUGGACCCGCGUCUGAUUAGCUGGUUGGCGGGGUAAAGGCCCACCAAGGCGACGAUCAGUAGCCGGCCUGAGAGGGUGGACGGCCACAUUGGGACUGAGACACGGCCCAAACUCCUACGGGAGGCAGCAGUGGGGGAUAUUGGACAAUGGGGGGAACCCUGAUCCAGCGACGCCGCGUGAGUGAAGAAGUAUUUCGGUAUGUAAAGCUCUGUCAGCAGGGAAGAAAGCAAUGACGGUACCUGACCAAGAAGCCCCGGCUAACUACGUGCCAGCAGCCGCGGUAAUACGUAGGGGGCAAGCGUUAUCCGGAAUUACUGGGUGUAAAGGGAGCGUAGACGGCUGUGCAAGUCUGGAGUGAAAGGCGGGGGCCCAACCCCCGGACUGCUCUGGAAACUGUAUGGCUGGAGUGCAGGAGAGGUAAGCGGAAUUCCUAGUGUAGCGGUGAAAUGCGUAGAUAUUAGGAGGAACACCAGUGGCGAAGGCGGCUUACUGGACUGUAACUGACGUUGAGGCUCGAAAGCGUGGGGAGCAAACAGGAUUAGAUACCCUGGUAGUCCACGCCGUAAACGAUGAUUACUAGGUGUCGGAGGGUAUGGACCCUCCG
rnacentral:rRNA from 1 species